rnacentral:rRNA from 1 species
AGCGAACGCUGGCGGCAGGCUUAACACAUGCAAGGCGAGCGGGCCCUUCGGGGUCAGCGGCAGACGGGUGAGUAACACGUGGGAACGUACCCUUUGGUUCGGAAUAACGCUGGGAAACUAGCGCUAAUACCGGAUACGCCCUUUUGGGGAAAGGCUUGCUGCCGAAGGAUCGGCCCGCGUCUGAUUAGCUAGUUGGUGGGGUAAUGGCCUACCAAGGCGACGAUCAGUAGCUGGUCUGAGAGGAUGAUCAGCCACACUGGGACUGAGACACGGCCCAGACUCCUACGGGAGGCAGCAGUGGGGAAUAUUGGACAAUGGGCGCAAGCCUGAUCCAGCCAUGCCGCGUGAGUGAUGAAGGCCUUAGGGUUGUAAAGCUCUUUUGUCCGGGACGAUAAUGACGGUACCGGAAGAAUAAGCCCCGGCUAACUUCGUG